rnacentral:rRNA from 1 species
GCCCAGAGUAAUUUGGAUUAAUACCUUAUAGUAUGAUGACUUGGCAUCAAGAGAUCAUUAAAGGUUACGGCAAAAGAUGAGCAUGCGUUCUAUUAGCUAGUUGGUCUGGUAACGGCAUACCAAGGCUACGAUAGAUAGGGGUCCUGAGAGGGAGAUCCCCCACACUGGUACUGAGACACGGACCAGACUCCUACGGGAGGCAGCAGUGAGGAAUAUUGGACAAUGGAGGCAACUCUGAUCCAGCCAUGCCGCGUGCAGGAAGACUGCCCUAUGGGUUGUAAACUGCUUUUAUAUAGGAAGAAACACCUCUACGUGUAGAGAUUUGACGGUAAUGUAAGAAUAAGGAGCGGCUAACUCCGUGCCAGCAGCCGCGGUAAUACGGAGGAUCCAAGCGUUAUCCGGAAUCAUUGGGUUUAAAGGGUCCGUAGGUCGAUAAUUAAGUCAGAGGUGAAAUCCUGCAGGUUAACUGUAGAUUUGCCUUUGAUACUUGUUGUCUUGAGUUAUUAUGAAGUGGUUAGAAUAUGUAGUGUAGCGGUGAAAUGCAUAGAUAUUACAUAGAAUACCAAUUGCGAGGGCAGAUCACUUAAUAAUAUACUGACAAUGAUGGACGAAAGCGUGGGGAGAGAACAGGAUUAGAUACCCUGGUAGUCCACGCCGUAAACGAUGGUCACCAGCUGUUCGGGUUUCGAUCUGAGUGGCUAAGCGAAAGUGAUAAGUGACCCACCUGGGGAGUACGUUCGCAAGAAUGAAA